rnacentral:rRNA from 1 species
AGACAGCAGUCGCCGCGGGAAUACGGAGGAUCCAAGCGUUAUCCGGAAUCAUUGGGUUUAAAGGGUCCGUAGGCGGUCUUGUAAGUCAGUGGUGAAAGCCCAUCGCUCAACGGUGGAACGGCCAUUGAUACUGCAGGACUUGAAUUAUUGGGAAGUAACUAGAAUAUGUAGUGUAGCGGUGAAAUGCUUAGAGAUUACAUGGAAUACCAAUUGCGAAGGCAGGUUACUACCAAUUGAUUGACGCUGAUGGACGAAAGCGUGGGUAGCGAACAGGAUUAGAUACCCCGUAGUCCCUGUCUCUUAUACA